rnacentral:pre_miRNA from 3 species
UCCUACGGAUGAACAAAGAAAGUAGUUUCUUGAGAUAGAAUCUAUUCCUGGUGAAAAUGCUAUGAA